rnacentral:pre_miRNA from 1 species
AAUAACCUUAUUUUUCGUUUUUCCGUGUCCAACGUUUGACCAUUCGUUUUAUUUAAAAAAAUUGUGCAAAAACUUAAAAAAUUUAGUCACGUAUAAAAUAUUAUUCAUAUUUUAUCAUCUAGUAAUAAUAAAAAAUAUUAAUCGUAAAAUUUUUUUAAAUAAGACGAAUGGUCAAACGUUGGAUACGGAAAACC